GCCCACCAAAGCGACGAUCAGUAGCCGGCCUGAGAGGGUGAACGGCCACAUUGGGACUGAGACACGGCCCAAACUCCUACGGAAGGCAGCAG
rnacentral:rRNA from 1 species